rnacentral:rRNA from 1 species
GACGAACGCUGGCGGUAUGCUUAACACAUGCAAGUCGAACGAGAAGUUUUUUAUUGAACCUUCGGGGGAUAUAAGAGACAGACAGUGGCGAACGGGUGAGUAACGCGUGGGCAACCUACCUAUCGGAGCGGGAUAGCCUCGAGAAAUCGGGAGUAAAACCGCAUAACACGGAUAUAUCGCAUGAUGAAUCCGUCAAAACUCCGGUGCCGAUAGAUGGGCCCGCGUCUGAUUAGCUAGUUGGUAAGGUAAGGGCUUACCAAGGCAACGAUCAGUAGCCGGUCUGAGAGGGCGAACGGCCACACUGGAACUGAGACACGGUCCAGACUCUACGGGAGGCAGCAGUGGGGAAUAUUGGGCAAUGGGGGCAACCCUGACGGAGCAAUACCGCGUGAGUGAAGAAGGUUUUCGGAUGGUA